AUUGAACGCUGGCGGAAUGCUUUACACAUGCAAGUCGAACGGCAGCACGGACUUCGGUCUGGUGGCGAGUGGCGAACGGGUGAGUAAUGUAUCGGAACGUGCCCAGUCGUGGGGGAUAACGUAGCGAAAAUUACGCUAAUACCGCAUACGAUCUAUGGAUGAAAGCGGGGGAUCGCAAGACCUCGCGCGACUGGAGCGGCCGAUAUCAGAUUAGGUAGUUGGUGGGGUAAAGGCCCACCAAGCCAACGAUCUGUAGCUGGUCUGAGAUGACGACCAGCCACACUGAGACUGAGACACGGUCGAGAGUCCUACGGGAGGCAGCAGGUGGUAAUUUUGGGCAAUGGGCGAAAGCCUGAUCCAGCCAUUCCGCGUGCAGAAUGAAGGCCCUCGGGUUGUAAACUGCUUUUGUACAGAACGAAAAGGUUACUAAUAAUACUAGGAGCUCAUGACGGUACUGUAAGAAUAAGCACCGGCUAACUACGUGCCAGCAGCCGCAGUAA
rnacentral:rRNA from 1 species